AACGAACGCUGGCGGCAUGCCUAACACAUGCAAGUCGAACGAGACCUUCGGGUCUAGUGGCGCACGGGUGCGUAACGCGUGGGAACCUGCCCUUAGGUUCGGAAUAACUCCCCGAAAGGGGUGCUAAUACCGGAUAAUGUCUUCGGACCAAAGAUUUAUCGCCUUUGGAUGGGCCCGCGUUGGAUUAGCUAGUUGGUAGGGUAAAAGCCUACCAAGGCGACGAUCCAUAGCUGGUCUGAGAGGAUGAUCAGCCACACUGGGACUGAGACACGGCCCAGACUCCUACGGGAGGCAGCAGUGGGGAAUAUUGGACAAUGGGCGAAAGCCUGAUCCAGCAAUGCCGCGUGAGUGAUGAAGGCCUUAGGGUUGUAAAGCUCUUUUACCCGGGAUGAUAAUGACAGUACCGGGAGAAUAAGCUCCGGCUAGCCCCGUG
rnacentral:rRNA from 1 species